rnacentral:rRNA from 1 species
GAUCAUGGCUCAGAUUGAACGCUGGCGGCAGGCCUAACACAUGCAAGUCGAGCGGUAGCACAGAGAGCUUGCUCUCGGGUGACGAGCGGCGGACGGGUGAGUAAUGUCUGGGAAACUUCCUGAUGGGGGGGGGAUAACUACUGGAAACGGUAGCUAAUACCGCAUAAUGUCGCAAGACCAAAGUGGGGGACCUUCGGGCCUCAUGCCAUCAGAUGUGCCCAGAUGGGAUUAG